rnacentral:rRNA from 1 species
AUGCUUAACAUUGACAUGUUUGCAGUGCUGGCUCAUAAUUUUGAUUCACAAACUUUGUACAUCCAUCGAUUCAGAAUGUUUCUCUUUUUUUUGGGCCUGUAUACUGAAUUUACAUGCCACUGGUGCUCUUUUCCUUCCCGAGCAACGCAUCAUCCGACCCCGUCACAUCAUCUGCUUUUUCUCCAAGACAACCAGGGUAAACUAUUGUUGGAAAGGUGCUGCCAAGGGCGGCCGAAGCCUGUAAACGGGGCGACGGGGAUGAACGGCAUCGCUAGGAGCGGCCGGUUGGGACGCUGCAACCACAGGUGCUGCGAGGAUUGCUGGGACCGAUGGACAGAGGUGCUACAACGAGCGAGGCGCGCUGAGACGGUGAACCAGCGGGGCAAGGUGCUGCGACGGCGACCUGAUGCUGGGACCGACGAGUGGCACUGGAAACGGCAAGGCAAGGUGCUUCUAUGA